CCACUUCUCCAACAAUUCCUUCUAGGGUUGAGAGAGAAAGAGAGGGAGAAUUAGAUGAGAUGAAAGGCUGUGGAGUGUUGUUCAAGUACCUGGGCAAGUGCUAGACAUCUGGGUUAAAGAGAUAAGAGCAGAAAAUUGCAACUUAAACCCUUAAAAGACCGAACCUGCAUUGCAGUCUAGUAGUUCGCAGUUCAGUCCCUGCAGGCUCGCAAAUCAGUCCCUGCAGGUUUACGAAUCAGUCCCUGCACUAAACAACAGCUCGCAACAGCAGUUUUCAGCCCAUUUUGCGCGUCUAGUUCGCUUCGAACACUUCUAAUCACUUCCCAAUUAUGCUCAUAAACCUCCACAAGCUACCAAUUAAGCUCGGGAAUAAACCAAUUUCAUUUUUGCAUUAUCUUGAUCAAUUUGAUCAAGAUUAGCAAUGUAAUUAAUAAUCCAACAUACUACAUUUAGAGUUUAGGAAUCCCCUUGCUCUAGAUUAAUUACAAUAAACUCUAAUCAGGAAUUAAGAUUAAUCUACU
rnacentral:lncRNA from 1 species